GGAACUGCCUUGUAAACUCCUGGUCUUGAGUUCGAGAGAGGUGAGUGGAAUUCCAAGUGUAGAGGUGAAAUUCGUAGAUAUUCGGAGGGAACACCAGUGGCGAAGGCGGCUCACUGGCUCGAUACUGACGCUGAGGUGCGAAAGUGUGGGGAGCAAACAGGCUUAGAUACCCUGGUAGUCCACCCCGUAAACGUUGGGAACUAGUUGUGGGGUCCAUUCCACGGAUUCCGUGACGCAGCUAACGCAUUAAGUUCCCCGCCUGGGGAGUACGGCCGCAAGGCUAAAACUCAAAGGAAUUGACGGGGACCCGCACAAGCGGCGGAGCAUGCGGAUUUAAUUCGAUGCAACGCGAAGAACCUUACCAAGGCUUGACAUAUACGAGAACGCUGCAGAAAUGUAGAACUCUUUGGACACUCGUAAACAGGUGGUGCAUGGUU
rnacentral:rRNA from 1 species